GCGUUAGUGCCCCCCCCUCCCCGCCCUCCGUGAGGGGCUCCCGCCCGGGUCCUACCGGGGGUCCCGGGAGCUCCUGCUGGGCUCUUCCAAACUGCGGCCAAACUGCCCCCUUCGUCCCGGUGCCGCCGCCAGGAGCCCCUCGCCGCCCGGAAUGGGGUUGUGCGACUGCCCUUGGCGCUGCCCUUCCCUUCGCGGGGGAUCCCCAGCGCCGUGUCCGCUCUGCCCCUCAGUAAUCAGGGGUAGCCGAGGGCGUGUUUUUCCGCCUUUACUCAGGAAGUAUUCAACAUUAAGCAACAUGUCUUCCACCAAACCUCCAAAUGAAAAUGAAACACCCAAAGAGAGAAAACCAGGACUGAGGAGUGUUCAGACAACUAUGCUUUUCCGAGCUGUGAACCCAGAGCUUUUCAUUAAACCUAACAAACCUGUGAUGGCGUUUGGACUGAUAGCAAUUAGUCUGUGUGUGGCCUACCUUGGUUAUUUGCAUGCAACAGCAGAGAAUAAGAAGGACCUCUACGAAGCAAUCGACAGUGAGGGGUCCAGAUAUAUGAGGAGGAAAACUUCCAAGUGGGACUGAGAAUAGAUCUUUGUCAGAAGAUGUGAAAUCACUUUGGACCUCCAAUCAGUACUGGUUACCGAACUCAAAAUAAGGAAUGGAAAGUCUGAAAUCCCCAGGUACUUCUGUGAGUGUGGAUGGGCAUUGUGGUGUUUCCCUGGCACACGUGGUGGUCCCUUGUGAGCCUUUGAGCAAACAGUACCGGCAGUGUCCUCCUGUUCCAGCACUGAGUCCUCCCAUGAGCUUCCCAGCUGCUUCUGGGUGCCUGAUGUUUCCUAGACAGUGUUCCAUCAACCAAACUCCAGAACAUGUGGUGGGAGGAUACAUACCAGGCUGUGACCUGUUUCUGCUAUGGACCCUUACUGAUGUUACCUUGCAGUUUGCCAUUCAGUGUCUUGUAUUUGCAGACCCAACAAGGACUCCCAGGGAGCUGAGAGACCUCUUUGUCAGCCCUCUUCUGACCAAGGUGACUUCUGUCAGGCCAGAGAAGGAACAUGCAGGAACUCCUGCUUUACCAUUCUGGGAGUUGCUUUGGGUUUUAUCAAAAGAUUUUGGUACUGAAGAUAAAAAAGGUGACUGGCUGCCUUGAAGGACAGCAGUUGCACCAUGGGAUUUCUCUGUAUCUCCCUCUAAGUCCUUCACUUUGAAUCUGUGAGUUUACUCCUGUUCUUGUUUUGUAGUUAACUGUAUCUUAAAUUCAGCAGGGCUUUGGUUAAACUGCCUCCUUCCUGAGAAGGGAAGUGAGCUCCACCUAUAAUAAAGCUUUUUUUUUUAAAAAAAAGGGUGGUUUUGCAGCCUUUAAAAGCAGAUUUCCCUCUGUGAGCCUGCUGCCCUACAACAGCAAGGUUCCUGGGCAAAUCUAAGUUUGCAGGUGAGGAAACUACUUGCCUUUUGAUUGGUGAAGGAAUUUCUGGGUGAAAUGAUCAAAUAUUCAGAACUCUCACAUGCUGUGCAUAUCCUGCAGAAUAUAUUUUGUUUGAUGUUUGUGAAGGACCUUUAGAAUAAACCUGUUCUUUUAAAAAUGGUCACACAGGAUUUUAGCUCUUUUCAGUUCAUUAAAAUGCACAGGUCUCGUAUGUUUGCAUGAAUUUAACUAAAUUAUUCCCAAAUAAGUGGUACAAGUAUUUUCACCUGUUUUUCUAUAGGCUUUUAGAAUACAUGUUUUGAUCCUUUGCAGAUGUCUGCAGAUGAAUUGAAAGCCCAUUCUCUUACUUUCACAUGUUUGAGAAUAAUGCAAGAUUUGUGUUCUCAAGAUUUUCAGUUCUGUUUUGUGAAGUGAAUAUGGAUCUGGCAGUUACUGGGGAAAAGAAAGCAGCACUGGAGGCAUAAGAGAUAACAGACUGACCUGGACAGGAUGUAGGCGUGUACAUGCCAGUGACACUUCUUACAAAAGCUGUCUGAGAUAGGGCCUCUUCAAUGUUGGCUGGAUUCAAGUCCCAUUGACCAGGUUACUUUAGAAUAGUGAGGUUGAAGGAAGAAUGGAUAUUUAAAUUUGUCCUAUUUUUUCUUUGGCAGCUGUUCUACAGAUAACUCUUAAUGAUACACAAUUUAUAUAUAAAAAAGAGAUAAAGCAGUGCAAAUACAGAGAGGUAUGUGGUGGGUUAAUGAAUGUUGCAGUAGCAACACAGGCAUUUGCUGGUUUAAGUUCCUGAUUUUUAUCAUAAGAACAAUGUGUGUAUAGGGAUUAAAGGGAAAAAAAACAAACACCCAAACAAAACUGCUUUGAUACCAACAUUUGUUUGCUCAGCUCUGAAAGCGUGACACCCGUUAUGCAUCUGGAGGACAAACACACAGCACCAGUAUAGUUUCUUUUGUUCUGUGUUUUUCAAUUUCAGUCUUCAGUAUAGUGAUAAUUAUCUAUAAGGGAUAAUAACUGGCUUGACAGAAACUAUGAGUCAAAAUUAUUUCCUGGGCAGAGGCUCUUUGAGAUUUUUGCCAGUUCCUUACUGUCUGUGCUGACUUUCACAUCUUUUACCAAGAACAAAAUGCUAUGAUUAAAAUAUCCAAAACUGUA